GAUUGAAGCGGCUGGAAGGGUCGAGAAUGGCCCCCCUCUGCCUCCCAUUUAUGGCUCUUUCCUCGAAGGUCAACCAAAAAGCGACCCAUCCAUGUUGGCUGACCUUCCUUCAGACAUCCUCUCAAUCCCAUCAAAGCCCCCAUGGGUCUACUGAUAGCUGUUAAGCAACAGUUGGCCAUGACAUGAUGGCAAAACCAUCCUUUAGAAGCUCCCGCCUCUGCUUAUAAGAGAAGGC
rnacentral:lncRNA from 1 species